UACGUAGGCAGCGAGCGUUGUUCGGAAUUACUGGGCGUAAAGAGUGUGUAGGCGGUGCUCUAAGUUCGGUGUGAAAUCUCCUGGCUCAACUGGGAGGGUGCGCCGGAAACUGGAGUGCUUGAGCGUGGGAGAGGAAAGCGGAAUUCCUGGUGUAGCGGUGAAAUGCGUAGAUAUCAGGAGGAACACCGGCGGUGUAGACGGCUUUCUGGACCGUAGCUGACGCUGAGACACGAAAGCGUGGGUAGCAAACAGG
rnacentral:rRNA from 1 species